GCUAAAAAAAAGACAAAAACGACAAAGCCUGAAGAAACUAAUUACCAUCUACCUCUAUCCUUUCUGCUUAGAUGUGAGACUCGCCCUGGAGAAAGACGGCUGAUGAAGAUGCCAUGCCUGUCUCUUCAAAGGGCACCCUCUGGACUGGCUUCUCCUCCCGCUUCCUUCUCCUCCCAGGACUCCUGUUCAAAGCUUCCAGCUUAUCAAUGUGUGGGGCUGCCAGAUUCUUGUCAAAUGCGGUUUUGGGACAACAAAGUUUUCAUAGUGGGGAUUCGAGAAACCCAGUGCAGCCCGGAACAUUUCUGUGACAGCGUGAUAUACAAACUCGUACUGUUCCUGCCAAUAACACAGGUUGGUCCUAGAGAGAAGCAGCGUAGCUGUGGAGCUCACCUGGGUUUGAACAGCAGCUGGCCUCUGCUUCCUCAUUUCCAAGACAACAUCAAAAAUGCUGAAAUGUGGUGGGAUUCUCUGAAAAAA